AUGUUUUUGGUGCUGUUUGACCCAGAAAUUGCUUGGUUUCCACCCCAAAAUCACCUACUUCUGGGGGUGGAUCCCACAAGGACCACCCUCAGCACCAGAAAGGGCCGGCCCCUGCUCUGGGCCAUCCAGCAGCGCCAACGGGAAAACUUUGGUCCCCAAAAGGGCCACGCGGUGGGGAGGGGACCCCAAAACACCCCCGCCACCCGUGGGGGGACAGUCCCACAAAGCCAAACCCCGGGGUUUUGGGGCGAGAAGGGCACUUACCACUUGGGGCUUGCUCCUGGGGUCGCUCUGCCGAGGGCACCGGGCGGGCUCGGGGGCGGUGGGCGUCGCGGGCGAAGAGCGGGGUCCGUCCCCGGGGCCGGGGGACGUGUCACCGGAGUUGAGGGCCAGCAUGUACCGCUUGGUGACAUCCUCCAGCGACGGUGGCUGCGGGGUAGGGAAAGUCUUGAGGGGCAGGCGGGUGGCAUCCGGCACGGGGAGGUGGGCAUGGUGGCCGGCGUGCGGCUCGGGGACCGAAAUGGGGACGAAGGUGGCGGGCUCGCUGGUGUGGCGCACGUGCUUGGUGGCCGGGCGGGCCACCCUGGAGAGGCCGGGGGGCACCAGGGGAGGUUGGUUCUCCUGGUGGGACGCGCGGCUGGAGCGCUUCUUGGAGCUGCGCCGGGCGCCGCGGGGGGACAGCACCUCGGCGAGCUUGGGGUCGAAGCCGUAACCUUGGUGUCCUUGGGGACGCGCCGGUGGGGAUCUCUGCUCCGAGAGGAUGGGCUCGCUGCUGGACGGCGGGAUGCUGCCCUCCAGCUCGCUGAUGGCUUCGCCGGGACCCUCGAAGGCGCCGGCGGCCAGCUCGCCGCGCCGGCUGGGGUCGCUCAGCGACUUCUUCUUGAUGGUUUUGCCGUUGCCCUUCUCGUCGAUGACUUUGUCCAUGGCGCCGGGCUGGCUGACGAUGGUCUGGAUGAGGCUGCUGUAAUCCCGCAGCCCGUCGCUGCCCAGGGAAAGGUCGCUGCCCGCGCUGCCGGCCAGCGCCAUGGCCGCGGGUUGGGGGAUGCCCCCCUUGGCGCUCAGCGAACCCAACAGGUUGCUGUCGACGGAGAAAUUCUUCGCCUCCUCCGCCACCGGGCAGCGCCGGUGGGGCAUGGGGUCGCUCAGGGAGCGGUAGGGCUCGCCGCCGCCGUCCCCGAUGCCGCUCUCGGCCCCGUUGGCACCCACCGAGGGGAAUUUCCGCCGGCGCCGCAAGCUGCUGGGGGUGCUCGGGGCCUCCAAGGGUGCUUGGGCUUUGGUGGCCACGGGGACGUCUUCCAGUGCCAUGGCUUGAGCCGGGGGCAAAGGUGGCUCGGUUGCAGUCUCAGUGGCAUCGGGCAGCUGCCAGGUGGCCACGGCCUCGUGCAAGUCCCCCAAGGCCACCCCAGGAGGCCCCGGCUCUGGCUCGGUGACGAUGCCCUCGUCCGUCACACUCGACUCGUGCCCCAACAGCUCCUCCACGGAUUUCCUUCGAGAGAAAUUCUCCAACUCCGCUUCCUUCAACCUCCGCGUGCUCUCCGCCUGUCCCCGAAGGGCCACGUCCGUCCCCAUGGCGGGUGCCACCUCCCCGACGCCCUCCACACCUCCGCUGUCCUUCUGCUCGGCCACCAAGCCGUAAUCCUGCUGGGAACCCAUCCUGCUGAUCUUCUCGAAGACCUGCCUGGCCUCCUGGAUGUACUGGUCCUGGAUGACCACGGGCAGCGCGUCCUCGUCCCCCCGCCGCCCGCCGCCCGCCGAAGCCGCCGCCUCGUGGCUACCGGCGGUGGCCAAGAGGAGCUCGGAGGAGCUCUGCUUCAUGGUGCUCUGCAGGAAAAGCCGGCGCGUCCCCGAUUUCUCGGAGCAGGUGAAGGAUUUGGCGCGGCGCAGCGUGGCCGUCAGGUCCUUCAGCGUUGGCCGCUCGCCCGGCGCCCAGCGGCUGGGGGGCUGAGCGGCGCCGCGGUCCCGGGGGCCGGCCGGCGGGGGGCCGACAUCGCAGCCCCCCUCGGCCAGGCCGAUCCUCACCCCUUUCUUCUUCACUUUCAGCUCCGACAGGUCCGACUUGAGGAAGCUGAGGAGCGUCAGCGUCUCGGUGGCGAUGUCGGGGUUGGACAAGGACUUGCGGUGCUCGGCCCGCUCCCCCGCCAGCUGCGGACCCUCGCUCCCCAAAUCCGGCCUCGCCUUGGCCGUGCCCGGUGCCACCUUGGGCCGCCCACGGGUUUGGGGUUGUCCCCAAGCCACCCCAUCGCUCGGCCCGAAACCGGGCGAGCGGCGGCCGCCGUGGAGGACCCAACAGCUGCCCGGCUGCUCCUCUUCCUUCAGCGUCUCCGUGCUGGAGUAGCGGCUCCCGGCGGGGCUACCGAAGGGCAGGAUGCUCACCUUGGCCACCCUGGCCACCACGGGGGCCGCGGGGGCGAGCGGUUGGCGGGUCCCCAACUUGCUCGGGCCCUCGCCGUCCCCUUGGCGGUUGGGGGCUCGCAGCAACCCCUCGCCCUCGCUGCCCGGAGAACCCCGGCUACGGGGCGAGGAAGAGGAAGGAGAAGAAGAGGAGGAGGAGGAGGAGGAGGCCGGGCGAGCCGAGCUAUGCCAGGAAUGCGGGCCGAGCCCCGGCGCAGCCCCGCGGGGCGCCCGCAGCGCCGGGUGCGGGACGCGGCUGCGGGGAGGUGGCGGAGGCGGCGUUCCCCGAGCGUUGCCGGUGCCGUUGGCUUUGGCGGUGCCGUCGGAGGUCCCGAUGCCGUUGCCGGUGCCGUUGCCGGUGCCGAUCCCGUUGCCGGUCCCCGGGGGCUGCCGCCCGUUUUCGCCGAAGAGUUUGCGCAUCGCCGGGACGCUGGGCCAGCGCGGCUCCGCGCUCAGCGCCGGCCCCCGAGGCGGCGGCGGAGGAGGAGGAGGAGGAGGAAGAGGAGGAGGUGGAGGAGGAGGAGNNNNNNNNNNGGGCGAGGAAGAGGAGGAGGAGGAGGAGGAGGAGGAGGAGGAGGAGGCUGCGGCGGCCCCGCAUGGGCCGGGCCCGGGGGCUCGGAGCGGCCGAAACGCAGCGAGAGCUGCCGAACCGACGGGGCCAAGCUGCGCGCACCGAAAACUUGGCCGCCCGGGGAAAAAAAAGACGACGAAGAAGAGCAGCGGCAGGGAGACGAGGAAGAAGAGGAGGAGGAAGAAACCCGGCCGCUGCCCCCCUCCGCCAUNUGCUUGCUGCUUGCAGGCAAGAAGCCUGUUCCCCCAAAACAAGACAGCAGAUUGACCUCCGGGAAGCGAAAAUGA
rnacentral:lncRNA from 1 species